UUUAAUUGAAGAGUUUGAUCAUGGCUCAGAUUGAACGCUGGCGGCAGGCCUAACACAUGCAAGUCGAGCGGCAGCGGGAGGAAGCUUGCUUCCUCGCCGGCGAGCGGCGGACGGGUGAGUAAUGUCUGGGAAACUGCCCGAUGGAGGGGGAUAACUACUGGAAACGGUAGCUAAUACCGCAUAACGUCGCAAGACCAAAGUGGGGGACCUUCGGGCCUCACACCAUCGGAUGUGCCCAGAUGGGAUUAGCUAGUAGGUGGGGUAAUGGCUCACCUAGGCGACGAUCCCUAGCUGGUCUGAGAGGAUGACCAGCCACACUGGAACUGAGACACGGUCCAGACUCCUACGGGAGGCAGCAGUGGGGAAUAUUGCACAAUGGGCGCAAGCCUGAUGCAGCCAUGCCGCGUGUGUGAAGAAGGCCUUCGGGUUGUAAAGCACUUUCAGCGAGGAGGAAGGCGUUG
rnacentral:rRNA from 1 species